rnacentral:lncRNA from 1 species
AUGGCGAACAUUCAGACAGAGCGUGCUUACCAAAAGCAGCCUACGAUCUUUCAAAACAAGAAGUGGGUUCUGCUGGGAGAAACCGGCAAGGAAAAACUCCCUCGGUACUACAAGAACAUCAGUCUAGGCUUCAGGACGCCCAAAGAGGCCAUCAAGGGCACCUACAUAGACAAGAAAUGCCCCUUCACUGGUAACGUCUCCAUCUGUGGUCGGAUCCUGUCUGGUGUCGUGACGAAGAUGAAGAUGCAGAGGACAGUCGUCAUCCACCGGGACUAUCUCCAUUACAUCUGAAAGUACAAUCGCUUUGAGAAGUGUCACAAGAACAUGUCUGCACCUGCCCCCCUGUUUCAGGGAUGUACAGAUCGGAGACAUUGUCACAGUUGGAGAGUGCAGGCCCCUGAGCAAGACUGUGCGAUUCAAUGUGCUCAAGGUCACCAAGGCUGCUGGCACCAAGAAGCAGUUUCAGAAGUUCUAA